rnacentral:sRNA from 1 species
UUUAGUUUCCGUUGAUUAAUUUCCGCUCACAGCUCAAUCAGCAGGUCCAUCAAUUUUUCGCAUAUUUCUUUCCCCUUAAUAUGAUUUCCACUUGAGGGCUGAAUAUCGGAUGGAAACGGAUUGCAGGGCACGUGGAUUGACGGCCCAAAAGGAUAUCAAUUCAGCCGACGGGUUCUGGAUUUAAUUUUGGGCCAUGUUCGUUAAAGGUUCGGUCGAAAUGAUUUAUUUCGAGUUUCAUUUCGAUUUCUGGUUUUCGGUUGUCGAUACUCGACUGCCGGUGGUUUCUGGUGACGCCUCCCGUUCCACUUGGCUAAUGAAAUCAUUCCGUGACACUCCGCACUCCAGACCUCCGUGUGCAACCCUCUUAAUUGUUAAAUCGAAUUCGCUGCUUUGGCUGUGCGCGACAACGCGGCGUAUGCGUAAUGCGAUUAUUGAAAUGUGUUGAUUGGAAUCAAGUUUGCAUUUUAAUUGGAUUGCCAUUGUUUGGCGCGCACAGAACACAGCGAUGACAACAAGCGCUUUCAAAUGGAUUACACAUUUUAGUUAUGAACUCCAAGUGCCUUCAAAUGUUUGCUGCGCUUCAAAUUAUAAAUCGCAAUUGCAUCCGCACCUGGAUUCGAGUGGAAUAUGUGUGUAUAUUUGUUGGGUGCUUUUAGUUUCCGGCGCGUUGCACUAGGAGCUCGGUGGCUGCCGCACAAAGUUGCCGCACAGACAAACAAUGCCGAAUCGCGAGGGCGGGCUGCUUUCAAAUUGCGUUGAAAGCUCCCGAAUGCCCCAUUUUGCUGCUGCUGGCGUGGGGAAAAGGCCAGCAAAAAAUAGCGAAUAAAAAAAUGAAGUCGACAAAAAAAAAAGGGAGGCAGCACAAAAAAAAAAUAAAGAACUAGAUGUGACACGAACAACGGCAAGCGACAACGUUCCGGAACAGAAACGGAAAUUGUGAAAUAUACAAAUGUUCGUCUUGUUUAGUGUAAGCCCAAGUGGGACCGCCUCCAGAGUUUCGCGGACAAGGGUAUAAGGAACGCUUUGUAAUAAAAAUAUAUGGAUCUGGCUCGGACAACGGCAACAUGUCACAUUGUUAAAAAAAAAAGACACAAAAAUCGGAAACGGAGGGCGGCUGGGCGGCAGAAGUGCACAGAAUGGAGAAAUCCCGACAAUUUGUUGCCAGGCGUUAAACGCUGGAAUAUCCGGUGAAACACGCUUAUUAAAACGGUAGCAUUUAGGCCGGUUCACACCCCACUUUGUCCGCAGGGAUAACAAAUUGGAAGGACAACAAAUAAGGCAGCAGGAGCAAACUGAUCGUGUAAUGAAUGUAAAAGGAGACUUCGGGCACAAAAAAAAAGGUCAACCAUUGUUCUCAAUUGCACACAGCUUUUGUCAAUUUAGGGGAAUAAGAGGGAAAACAUCCACUUGAAUAUAUUAUUUAAAUUUGUGUUU